rnacentral:rRNA from 1 species
UACGAAGGGGGCUAGCGUUGUUCGGAAUCACUGGGCGUAAAGGGCGCGUAGGCGGCCGAUCAAGUCGGGGGUGAAAGCCUGUGGCUCAACCACAGAAUUGCCUUCGAUACUGUUUGGCUUGAGACCGGAAGAGGUAAGUGGAACUGCGAGUGUAGAGGUGAAAUUCGUAGAUAUUCGCAAGAACACCAGUGGCGAAGGCGGCUUACUGGUCCGGUUCUGACGCUGAGGCGCGAAAGCAGUGGGGAGCAAACAGG